rnacentral:rRNA from 1 species
GACGAACGCUGGCGGCGUGCUUAACACAUGCAAGUCGAACGGAAAGGCCCUGCUUUUGUGGGGUGCUCGAGUGGCGAACGGGUGAGUAACACGUGAGUAACCUGCCCUUGACUUUGGGAUAACUUCAGGAAACUGGGGCUAAUACCGGAUAGGAGCUCCUGCUGCAUGGUGGGGGUUGGAAAGUUUCGGCGGUUGGGGAUGGACUCGCGGCUUAUCAGCUUGUUGGGGGGGUAGUGGCUUACCAAGGCUUUGACGGGUAGCCGGCCUGGGAGGGUGACCGGCCACAUUGGGACUGAGAUACGGACCAGACUCCUACGGGAGGCAGCAGUGGGGAAUAUUGCACAAUGGGCGGAAGCCUGAUGCAGCGACGCCGCGUGCGGGAUGAAGGCCUUGGGGUUGUAAACCGCUUUCGGCUGUGACGAAGCGUGAGUGACGGUAAUGGGUAAAGAAGCACCGGCUAACUACGUG